GUCCACGCCCUAAACGAUGUCUACUUGCUGUUGGGGGUAACCUUAGUAGCGAAGCUAACGCGAGAAGUAGACCGCCUGGGGAGUACGGUCGCAAGAUUAAAACUCAAAGGAAUUGACGGGGACCCGCACAAGCGGUGGAUGAUGUGGAUUAAUUCGAUGCAACGCGAAAACCUUACCUGCUCUUGACAUGUACGGAAGAUUUCAGAGAUGAGAUUGUGCCUUCGGGAACCGUAACACAGGUGCUGCAUGGCUGUCGU
rnacentral:rRNA from 1 species